GAAUUCAACUCCUACGGGAGGCAGCAGUGGGGAAUUUUGGACAAUGGGGGCAACCCUGAUCCAGCAAUGCCGCGUGAGUGAAGAAGGCCUUAGGGUUGUAAAGCUCUUUCAGCCGGGAAGAAAACGCAUGGGUUAAUACCCUGUGUGGAUGACGGUACCGGAAUAAGAAGCACCGGCUAACUACGUGCCAGCAGCCGCGGUAAUACGUAGGGUGCGAGCGUUAAUCGGAAUUACUGGGCGUAAAGCGUGCGCGGGCGGUUUGGUAAGACAGGCGUGAAAUCCCCGGGCUUAACCUGGGAACUGCGUUUGUGACUGCCAGGCUAGAGUACGGCAGAGGGGGGUGGAAUUCCACGUGUAGCAGUGAAAUGCGUAGAGAUGCGGAGGAACACCAAUGGCGAAGGCAGCCCCCUGGGUCGAUACUGACGCUCAUGCACGAAAGCGUGGGUAGCAAACAGGAUUAGAAACCCGUGUAGUCCAGGCGUU
rnacentral:rRNA from 1 species